rnacentral:rRNA from 1 species
UUUUGGGCAAUGGGCGAAAGCCUGNCCCAGCGACACCGCGUGAGGGAAGAAGGCCUUCGGGUUGUAAACCUCUUUUCCUGGGGAAGAAUUUUGACGGUACCCAGGGAAUAAGCCUCGGCCAACUACGUGCCAGCAGCCGCGGUAAUACGUAGGAGGCGAACGUUAUUCGGAUUUAUUGGGCGUAAAGGGAGCGUAGGCGGUUCCUUAAGUCGAAUGUGAAAUCUUCUGACUCAAUCAGAAGGCGCCAUUUGAUACUGGGGGACUUGAGAGCAGCAGAGGAAAAUGGAAUUUCCGGUGUAGCGGUGAAAUGCGUAGAUAUCGGGAAGAACACCAGUGGCGAAGGCGAUUUUCCAGGCUGUUUCUGACGCUGAGGCUCGAAAGCGUGGGGAGCGAAGCGGAUUAGAUACCCGCGUAGUCCGCGCCCUAAACGGUGGACACUAGAUAUAGGAGGUAUCGACCCUUUCUGUGUCGAAGCUAACGCUUUAAGUGUCCCGCCUGGGGAGUACGGCCGCAAGGCUGAAACUCAAAAGAAUUGACGGA